UGAACCUCUGCAAGAUGUCAUCAAGAAAUUGUGUUUUCCUAUGAAGUGCUGCAUAAUCCAAAUGGCAUUUCAGGAUGGAUUGCCCAAAAGGAGUCCUCAGUACAAACAAAAGCUUGAAGGGAGAAGGUGAUGAGCUGGCCUGAAGAUUUUCCUUAUGUGCUACUUUUGCCAUUUCCACGACCCUGCAGAGGACAAGCAAAAAGACUCUCAGCUAUAACAGGUGAAAAAAUGCUCGGAUGUGAAGACUGGACAGUGUGAUACACAGAGACCGAUUGCUCUGUGCUGGAGAACAGGGAAUUAAAGGUACUGUGUAUAUCUCUACUUUUAUUGGGCUAACAAAUGCAGAGUGCAAACCACGGUCUUUGGUACAAAAAGAGGAAGAAAAAGCUCUUCACCACCAAAGUUUUAUAUUAAUCAAGUAAAUGUUAUUAGAAUACCAAUCACUGCUAGCUUUCAAAAAACAAUCACUGCUUGCUUUCAAAAACCCAGUAAGGCUAAAGGCCACAACCUGCACAUAUCUUCAGAGUAGAGAUAUAGAAUAUUUUCCAGAAGUUAA